rnacentral:rRNA from 1 species
GAGUUUGAUCCUGGCUCAGGACGAACGCUGGCGGCGUGCCUAAUGCAUGCAAGUCGCACGCGGGGACUUCGGUCCCUGAGUGGCGCACGGCUGAGGAACACGUGGGUAGCGACCCGGCGGUGGGGGACAACUCGGCGAAAGCCAAGCUAAUCCCGCAUACGCUCUCUGGAGGAAAGCCGCAAGGCGCCGCCGGACGCGCCCGCGGCCCAUCAGGUAGUUGGCGGGGUAACGGCCCACCAAGCCCGUGACGGGUCGCUGGUCUGUGAGGACGACCAGCCAGACUGGGACUGAGAUACGGCCCAGACUCCUACGGGAGGCAGCAGCAAGGAAUUUUCGGCAAUGGGCGCAAGCCUGACCGAGCAACGCCGCGUGCAGGAUGACGGCUUUCGGGUUGUAAACUGCUUUUUGGUGGGAUGAUAAUGACCGACCACCAGAAUAG